rnacentral:rRNA from 1 species
GAUGAACGCUAGCUACAGGCUUAACACAUGCAAGUCGAGGGGUAGCAGGGUAGCAAUACCGCUGACGACCGGCGCACGGGUGAGUAACACGUAUCCAACCUUCCCAUAACUCAGGAAUAGCCUUUCGAAAGAAAGAUUAAUACCUGCUCGCACUUAAGAAAGGCAUCUUUUUUAAGUUAAAGAUUUAUCGGUUAUGGAUGGGGAUGCGUUCCAUUAGAUAGUUGGUGAGGUAACGGCUCACCAAGUCUUCGAUGGAUAGGGGUUCUGAGAGGAAGGUCCCCCACAUUGGUACUGAGACACGGACCAAACUCCUACGGGAGGCAGCAGUGAGGAAUAUUGGUCAAUGGGCGAGAGCCUGAACCAGCCAAGUAGCGUGAAGGAUGAAGGUCCUAUGGAUUGUAAACUUCUUUUAUAGUAGAAUAAAGUGAGCCACGUGUGGUUUUUUGUAUGUAUACUAUGAAUAAGGAUCGGCUAACUCCGUGCCAGCCGCCGCGGUAAAAC